AAGCGUAAUAGCUCACUAGUCGAGUCGGCCUGCGCGGAAGAUGUAACGGGGCUAAGCAAUAUACCGAAGCUGCGGAUACGUGUUUACACGUAUGGUAGGGGAGCGUUGUGUAAGUGGAUGAAGGUGGAUUGAGAAGUCUGCUGGACAUAUCACAAGUGCGAAUGCUGACAUGAGUAACGAUAAUGGGAGUGAAAAACUCCCACGCCGGAAGACCAAGGUUUCCUGUCCCAUGCUAAUCAGGGCAGGGUAAGUCGGCCCCUAAGGCGAGGCAGAAAUGCGUAGUCGAUGGGAAACGGAUUAAUAUUUCCGUACUUAUAUAAUCAGUGAUGGAGGGACGGAGAAGGCUAAGCAAGCUUGGCGUUGGUUGUCCAAGUGAAAGCAAGUAGGCCGAGAAUUUAGGUAAAUCCGGAUUCUUAAAGCUGAGAUGCGAGACGAGCCACUACGGUGGUGAAGUUGUUGAUGCCCUGCUUCCAGGAAAAGCUUCUAAACUUAUGAUUAUAUGAACCGUACCCCAAACCGACACAGGUGGUCAGGUAGAGAAUACUAAGGCGCUUGAGAGAACUCGGGUGAAGGAACUCGGCAAAAUUGUACCGUAACUUCGGGAGAAGGUACGCCCUUGUUUGUGAUAGGACUUGCUCCUUGAGCAGAUGAGGGCCGCAGUGACCAGGUGGCUGGGACUGUUUAUUAAAAACACAGCACUCUGCUAACUCGCAAGAGGACGUAUAGGGUGUGACACCUGCCCGGUGCCGGAAGGUUAAUUGAUGGGGUUAUCUUCGGAGAAGCUCUUGAUCGAAGCCCCGGUAAACGGCGGCCGUAACUAUAACGGUCCUAAGGUAGCGAAAUUCCUUGUCGGGUAAGUUCCGACCUGCACGAAUGGUGUAACCAUGGCCACGCUGUCUCCACCCGAGACUCAGUGAAAUUGAAAUCGCAGUGAAGAUGCUGUGUACCCGCACCUAGACGGAAAGACCCCGUGAACCUUUACUACAGCUUGGCACUGAACAUUGAACCUACAUGUGUAGGAUAGGUGGGAGGCUUCGAAGCACAGUCGCUAGAUUGUGUGGAGCCAUCCUUGAAAUACCACCCUUGUAUGUUUGAUGUUCUAACAUUGGUCCCUUAUCGGGAUUAUGGACAGUGUCUGGUGGGUAGUUUGACUGGGGCGGUCUCCUCCCAAAUAGUAACGGAGGAGCACGAAGGUUAGCUAAUCACGGUCGGACAUCGUGAGGUUAGUGCAAUGGCAUAAGCUAGCUUAACUGCGAGACAGACACGUCGAGCAGGUACGAAAGUAGGUCAUAGUGAUCC
rnacentral:rRNA from 1 species